CAGUCAGUAGCUAAUCCGUGUCCCGUCUCCCUCUCAUCUUCCAAACUCCGACUCACGCCACCACCUUCAUAUCUCUCGUCUUUUAGGCGCCGAAAUCUUCUUAACCCUCUCUUUCAAAUUUCAAGUUCUGAUUUUUUCCUAACUUCCUCCCAUCAUAACCUCCGGCCAAACCGCUAUAUUUUCGCCGGCAUAUUCGCCGAACCGGAUGCCAUUCUCGUCUUAUAAAUACCGAACAACGGGACCAGCCCACACGGCCUCGUCCCCACCUCUAUCUCUCUCGCUCUCACGUCUGGUAGGGUUUUAGGGUUUUGAGGGCCAGAUUCCUCUUGGAUUAAGGGUAUUCCGUCUUCUAUCUUUUACAGAAAAGGUAGCGUAUGUGAAUUCAGCUAACAGUUUGAUUGAGUUGGGGAGUAAUAUCUAGAGACAUUAAUCUUGUUGCAGUUUGAUUUUGGCGCUCCAAAUUCUCCGAGGAUGAAAAUGCCAUAAAGAAUUAUCUUGAUGCACACAUGCGUGCAAUGUAAUGAAUGCAUGAUGGUUGUAACUUUGACAUGUAGAAAAGAAGCCAAAGCCGGGGCGCUUACAAAUUUUGAAGUCCUCGACCUUUUACGAUCUAGAGGGGCAACAAGUGAUCCUUUGGGAGCUCUUGGUGCUGUAUCUCCAUCUGAAUGCAAGGUUUUCAAUUACCUAGUAAACAGCGCUGCUUGCAAUCAAACAAGGGAAAUCAUCAAUGAGUUCUUGAAAAGAUCUGAAAAGUACAAUCUCGCAAGAGCUGAGAAGCUUAAUAUUAUCAACAUGAGGCCAUCAUCGGAGCCCCAAAUCUUUCCGAAAGGUGUGGGCUCCAGCAGUACCGGUACCACCAUAAGCUAUGGUGGUAAGGACAGAAGGGGGGCUCACCUGAUGCAUGCAUUCAGGACAUCCAACCCAUCUGAUCCAAUGCAUGAUCACAGUUUACACCCAGCACCAAAAAAUGAGCCAAAUCCAAAACAUAGAUUAUUGAGGAUUGUGAAACACGCCUGGACACUGAUAAGCUGAAAGAGUUGGUGAGCAUUGUCGUUGAAGUCUUGCCGCCUCCCCCUCCGAGGCCCGGAGAGGAAGAUGAUCAACAGGCAGUGGAGAAUGAUUAGUCAUGAAAGGGACAUUUUUAGGUCGUUCUCUUGAUGAUGGUAGGCUGGAAGGAUUGCUAGGGAGGCGGACCUUGUUGCAGACCGAGUGAGGAGGGAGAUUUUGGAUUCACCCAUGGUUACCCUCCGGCCUUUUCAUUUUUGUUUGUUUUUGGAAAUGUUUAUUCAUAUAACCCAGUGCCCAAGGGAGCUGAUAUAGUUGCAGUGUUACUCA